rnacentral:rRNA from 1 species
CCUACGGGUGGCAGCAGUGGGGAAUAUUGGGCAAUGGGCGCAAGCCUGACCCAGCAACGCCGCGUGAAGGAAGAAGGCUUUCGGGUUGUAAACUUCUUUUCUCAGGGACGAAGAAAGUGACGGUACCUGAGGAAUAAGCCACGGCUACCUACGUGCCAGCAGCCGCGGGAAUACGUAGGGGGCAGGCGUUAUCCGGAUUGACUGGGUGUAAAGGGCGUGUAGGCGGGACUGCAAGUCAGAGGUGAAAACCACGGGCUCAACCUGUGGCCUGCAUUUGAAACUGUAGGUCUUGAGUACUGGAGAGGCAUACGGAAUUCCUAGUGUAGCGGUGAAAUGCGUAGAUAUCAGGAGGAACACCAGUGGCGAAGGCGGUCUGCUGGACAGCAACUGACGCUGAGGCGCGAAAGCGUGGGGAGCAAACAGGAUUAGAUACCCGAGUAGUC